rfam:Gossypium arboreum cultivar AKA8401 contig_54_7, whole genome shotgun sequence.
UGUUAAAAUUUCUAUCUUUUUUUAUUGUUAAAAACCAACGUAGUUAACAAAAUAAGUAGAUGCCACGUAUACUUUUUACUAAUAUAUAUGGACCAGUGUUUAAUAGUAGAAAUAGAUAGAAUUUUUAAUA